rnacentral:rRNA from 1 species
UCACUUUCAACAACGGAUCUCUUGGCUCUCGCAUCGAUGAAGAACGUAGCGAAUUGCGAUAAGUAAUGUGAAUUGCAGAAUUCCGUGAAUCAUCGAAUCUUUGAACGCAAAUUGCACUCUUCGGUCUUCCGGGGAGUAUGCCUGUUUGAGGAUCGGU